AACUGGAGCACAAAGGUACCUAGUUCCACAGGUAGCUUGAGGGCAGCGCGCUUUGACAGGUAAUCGGGGAUGUCGUUCUCCGCCUGAGGGACAUGCUCCGCUUGUAUACUAUCAAAGCGCUCCUCCAGUUACCUCACCUCAUCUACGUAAGCUUCCAUUAACGGGCUUUGAUAAUCUUUGUUGAUCUGCCUGACGACAAGCUGUGAGUCGCCCCUGACAAUGAGCUUCUUAACUCUGAGGUCUGCCGUGAUCCUGAGACCGGCAAGCAAACCCUCGUACUCGGCGGUGUUGUUGGUUGACAUCUCCCGUGGGAAGUGCAUCUAGAUGACAUACUUGAGGUGCUCUCCGGUGGGUGCGACAAGCAGCACACCAGCACUGCCCCUUGCAGCGAGAAGGCACCAUCAAAAUACAUGAUCUAGUUGCGUCUUGUUUCCUUGCCGGGGAGAGUGGUCUCCUAUACCUCUUUGUCAGGCGUCGAGGUCCAUUCCACAACAAACUCCGCCAAGACUCUGCUCUGAAUUGUCGAGGUACUUUCAAACUUCAAACCGAAACUUGACAGCUCCAGGGCCCAUUCCACGAUCCUCCCUGUUGCAUCUGGGUUGUGCAGUAUUCGUUGCAAUGGGAGCCGGGUGACCACCGUGAUCUCGUGGAAGUAAUGGCGCAGCUUCCUCGAGGCCAUAAGGAGGCCGAAGAGCAGCUUUUGCACACCUGAGUACCUCGACCUAGCCCCCUGCAAGAGGGAGCUGACAAAGUACACAGGGUGCUGCACCAUUUUCUUCUUCUACGCCUCUUCACCCGGUCGCGUGGGUCCUUCCACGCUGCCGUCAGCCCCUGCCGGGAACCCGAUCUUGCCGGGAUCGAGCCCUGCCGGAGAGGGUUUCGGCUUGCCAUCUGUUGGCUCUGCUGCUGCCACUGCCUUCUUGUUGACCUCUCUCUGCACCACUAGUGCAGCGCUAACCACCUGAUUUGUUGCCGCUAGAUAAAGCAGCAACGGUUAUUGUGGUUUGGGCGCGACCAACACUGGGGUAGAGGAGAGGUAUCUCUUCAAAUCCUGUAGCGCUGCCUCGGCGUCUGGGGUCCACUCCACUGGCCCUGCCCUCUUCAAGAUCUUGAAAAAAGGAAGGGCACAUUCCACGGACUUGGAGAUGAACCGGCUCAUGGCAGCAACGCAGCCAGUGAGCCGACGCACGUCCUUGAUCCGUUUGGGUGCCUCAAUCUACUCGAUGGCCUUGAUCUUGUCUGGGUUUGCUUCAAUCUCGCGCUGGGACACAAAGAACCCGAGAAGCUUGCCGGACGGGACACCAAAGUCACACUUCUCAGGGUUCAGUUUGAGUAUGAUCUUGCGCAGGUUUGCGAAUGUUUCCUCCAGAUCACAAGGGUCGCUUUGUCCUUGGUUUUGACCACUAUGUCAUCCAUAUAAGCUUCCAUAUACCUAUGUAGCUGGGGCUCAAAACCAAUUUGGACCGCUCUCGCAAAGGUUGAGCCAGCGCUCUUCAACCCGAAAGGCAUUCGUAAAAGGCAAUACGUCCCACAUGGGGUGAUGAAUGCUAUCUUUUCCUCAUCUUCCUUUGUCAUGAAGAUCUGGUGGUAUCCUGAGUAGGCGUCAAGGAACGAUAAGAGGUCACACCCAGCCGUGGAGUAAACAAUCUGGUCAAUGCGCGGUAACGGGAAAGGAUCCUUUGGACAGGCCUUAUUGAUGUCUGUGUAAUCAAUACACAGCCUCCUCUUCCCAUUCGCCUUGUGCACCACUACCGGAUUGGCCAACCAUGUCGGAUGGAGUACUCCUCUCACCAAGCCUGCCGCCUCUAGCUUUCUUAUUUCCUCCGUGAUGAACUCCUGCCUCUCCAGAGCUUGCUUCCUGACCUUCUGCUUGAUGGGCCGUGCAUGGGGACAGACAGCAAGGUGGUGCUCAAUCACCUCCCUGGGAAUGCCAGGGAUGUCGGAGGCUUGCCAUGCAAACACAUCGACAUUCGCCCGCAGGAAGGUGACGAGCUCGCUUUCCUAUUUGCCGUCAAGGGUGGAGCUUAUGGUGAACGCUCCCCCCGUGUCGUCCUCCUUGACGGGCACCUUUUUGGUCUCUGGUGGUGUAGCUCGGGACUUCUUGCUCUUGCCAACAGGGCCCACUGGCAUGUUCUCAACGGAAGCAUAGCACCCCGAAGAGGUGCGCUUGCCAGAGUGGGUGCGAGGGGUCUCGCCGGUCUUCUUCUCCCCUGGGGCUCAAUCGGCAGGAGCAGGUGCCUUAGCGGCAGCUGCUGCAAUUGCCUCCCGGUAUAGUUGGUCGGUGUAGAUCAGCGCAUCUUUCUUGUCGGAGGGGACGGUGAUGAUGUUCAUCGGCCCGGGCAUCUUCAGCAUGUUGUAGGUGUAGUGUGAAGCCGCCAUGAACUUGGCUAGCGCCGAGCGGCCGAGGAUCCCUUUGUAAGGCAAGGGGAUCUCGGCUACAUCGAAAACAAUCCUCUCCGUCCUGUGGUUCAGCUCGCCUCCGAAUGUCACGGGCAGCAUGAUCUUUCCCUUUGGCUGGCUCCUCCCCGGGUUAACCCCUUGGAACGUGGCCGUCUCCUCGAGGUCUCCAUCAGGGAUCUGCAGCCUUCUGACCAAGACAGGCGAGAUCAAGUUUAGGUCGGCCCCACCGUCAACCAACAUCUUUGUCACCUUGAGGUUGCAGAUUGUUGGUGAAACCAACAACGGCAAGCACCCGACCGCAGUGGUGCGGUCAGGGUGGUCCUCGGUGUCGAAGAUGAUGGGCGUGCUGGACCAUUUCAGCGGCUUCUGUGCGUCGAACGAUGGCUCCACCGCCGUGAUCUCACGCGCCCACUGCUUGAGUCGGCGGUGGGAUGUAUGCAACGAGGCGCCACCAUCGACGCACAUGGCCUCUGUGGCUUUCUGAAAUUCGUGGUCGCCAGACUCGUCGUCCUCGUCAUGAUCAUUGUCUUCCUGUUUCUUGUCGUGGCCCCGGGCGGGCCUCUCUUGCUGAUUAUCCUUGCCGCAGCGGCCUCCUUGGCCGCCACGUUUCUUGCCGGAUCCCUCGGCACCAUCUGGGCCAUUCUCCUUGUCCCAUCGCUCAUACUCGGCUUUCUGCUUCUCGGCGAGCAGCUCUACCUGCCGGCAGUUUUGGAGAUCAUGGCCCUUGGUGCGGUGGAUCUUGCAAUACUUCUUGUCGGAGCCUCCUGGCUUGUCGGCGGCCGCCAAGGCCCGUCAAGCGGCACACCCAGCAACCUCCUUGCCGGGGUCACUUGCCUUGGGUUUCUUGGUGGCACCGGUAUCGUCAGACCCCUCGACGGCAGGCACGGUCUUGCUCAAGCGCUUCCUGUUACAGCGUCGGCCCUUCUUCGCAGGGGUGGCGGUGUCAUCUGUGGAGUCGGUUUCCGCGCCGGCGUCCUCGCCGGGGUACUUCCUUCCCUCCUCGGCACGAGCGCACCGAUCGGCCAGAACAUAGAGCUCGGCCACAUCCUUAACUUUGUUCAUCGCCAGCUCUUCACGCAUCUUGCGAUUGCGCAUGUUCUGAUGGAACGCACUAAUCACAACGGCAGGAUGAACGUCGGGGAUGUUGUACUGCACUCGGCUGAACCUUUGGAUGUACUUGCGCAGGUUUUCUCCUUCCUUCUGGGGGAUGAUGUGUAAAUCACUCGCCUGGCCAUGAGCUUGGUGACCUCCGGUAAAGGCGCCAACAAACUCAUGGCACAGAUCCACCCAAGAAGAGAUGGAAUCCACCGGCAAGUGCAUCAACCAUGACAUAACAUUAGGUUUGAGUGCCAACGGGAAGUAGUUGGCAAGCACUCUUAUCAUCGCGGGGCCCAGCAGCUUGCAUGGCGAUGGUGUAGAUGCUGAGGAACUCUGACGGGUGAGUCUUGCCAUUGUACUUCUCGCCAACGUUGGGCUUGAACGUACGGUGGGAGGGCCACUGGAACUGCCGCAGCUCACGGGUGAAAGCCGGACAACCCACCUCGUAAGGUAGGCCACCGUAGCCUCCCGGCACUGGGUGGUCCAUAGCGGGCCCUGCCCGCCUGUCCGACUAGUGGCGCACGUCACGUCGGCGCUCGAUCGUAGUUCGAGCGUCCUCAUGGGCCCGCUCCCGAAGGACUUGGCGCUGAUCGCGGUUGGUUCACGGGUCGGAUGACGCGAUGGAAAUAUCAUCACGAGCGUCGCCGUGACGGGCCGACGCCCGGGGCGGUCGGGACGGAGGUGGGGAGUACACCGUGGCUGCGUCGCCACCGGCAUGGCCUCCGCUGGCACACGGUAGCCCAGCGGAGCGACGUCCGACGGGUCCCUCCCGCCGCAACCCAUCGUUGUUGGCGAUGCCGACGAGGCUCCAGACGGUGUCCCUCCAUUCGUCAAGCUUCUCCGCGGCGGGAGGAAAAUCGAGGAGCAGCUAAGCGCGCUGGGGCUUCCGCUGGCGUGGGCGGCGGCGAAAGCUGGGUGGACCGCGAUGCGCCUCGACUCCUAACCACAUUAGAAGGAGCUGCAUCACGGCCCCGCGGCCAUUCGCCACCUCCAUCAACACCUUGGCGCGCAUGCUGGCCCUCUUCUUCAUGUGAUGGACGCACGGGACUCUUCCCAGGGCUGCGCGCUGGGCCACCGGCAGGGUGACACUGUCCAUCACGCACAACCUGAGAGGAGCGCGCCGUGGGCGCCAGUGUUGGCGUCUUGGAGGUCACCAUGCCGCCGCCUGGUGGGACAGCGACGCCCCUGGAGGGCCCCGCAUUGCCUGCGGGGGGCCCGACUCCACCUCCGGAGCCCGCGCUUGGUGGCUCGCCGCCUGGCGUGUGAACGGCGCCACUUGCCAGGUCGGGGCCAUCGGGGUGAUGUAGAUGUUCGCAAGCCACGCCACGGGUUCUCUCCGCGACUGGCCCGCUACCGGUCCGCGCCGGUACCAACCCGGUCCCGGACGAACCGAAAAUCGUGGUCGUCUUCUUCUUAGGAGCCAUGGCGAUGAAGAGCGGCUAGGUCAACUGCCAGACCAGAUCCUCACGAUUGCGCUCCCCUACCUGGCGCGCCAAAGAUGUCGGUGGGAAACGACACCUAUGGGAUCACUGGAAUCCCUUCUACGGUUGCGGGGCGCGGGGAUCGUGAGAAGAGCGGGACUAGCAGACAACACAAGGGGGAUUUACCCAGGUUCGGGCCGCAAAGAUGUGUAAAACCCUACGAUCCUGCUUUGGUGGAUGUAUUAGUGUUCUUAAGCUCUCGAACUAGCUCUAGGUGCUGCGAGGUUCGAAAGAGCCGAAUCCUUCUCCCGUGCGCCAUGGGCCUCCUUUUAUUGGCGAAAGGGGUUGCCACAGUGGCACACAACAGGUGGAAAGUGCUACAGCGUUGCGAGCUUAUCGCUAGUAUUACAGGAAAAGCGCAUUCAAUGCGGAGCUUAGGUGUCCCUCGACUUUACCGGGGGCGGGAGCAAAGCCCGUCUCGUCCGUCGCUGCUCCUCCUCGUUUCGACACGCGCCCCAGCCAGCGGUGCAUGCGGUGCCAUGUAGGCAGGCAGGCAGCUGAGGUGGCGCGGUGGUGGAGCCACCACGAAGUACUGCAUGUUGCGACGCAGGUGCCUGCCCAGCUGGUCGGGUCGGCAGCUGCAUGCGAACAGCAGCGAAGACUUGCCUGGCGCGGGCCUGGCAAUGGCCCUGCCGGUGCAUGAUACGUCUCCAACGUAUCUAUAAUUUUUGAUUGUUCCAUGCUAUUAUAUUACCCCUUUUGGAUGUUUAUGGGCUUUAUUUUACACAUUUAUAUCAUUUUUGGGACUAACCUACUAACCGGAGGCCCAGCCCAUAUUGUUGUUUUUUGCCUAUUUCAGUAUUUCAAAGAAAAGGAAUAUCAAACGGAGUCCAAACGGAAUGAAAUCUUUGGGAGCGUGAUUUUUGGAACAAACGUGAUCUGAAGAGCUUGGAGUGCAAGUCAAGAAGCUUCUGAGGGCCCCACAAGAUAGGGGGCCAUGCCCACCCCCCUAUAGGGCACGCCCCCUAUCUCGUGGGCCCCUCGGGCGGCCACCGACGUACUUCUUCCUCCUAUAUAUACCUACGUACCCCGAAAACAUCUAGGAGCACCACGAAACACAAUUUCCACCGCCGGAACCUUCUAUCUGCGAGAUCCCAUCUUGGAGCCUUCGCCGGCACUCUGCCGGAGGUGGAAUCAACCAUGGAGGGCCUCUACAUCAACAUCCUUGCCCCUCCGAUGAGUUGUGAGUAGUUUACCACAAACCUACGGGUCCAUAGUUAUUAGCUAGAUGGCUUCUUCUCUCUAUUUGGAUCUCAAUACAAUGUUCUCCCCCUCUCUUGUGGAGAUCUAUUCGAUGUAAACUCUUUUUGCGGUGUGUUUGUCGAGAUCUGAUGAAUUGUGGGUUUAUGACCAAGUUUAUCUAUGAAUAAUAUUUGAAUCUUCUCUGAAUUCUUUUAUGUAUGAUUGAGUUAUCUUUGCAAGUCUCUUUGAAUUAUCAGUUUGAUUUGGCCUACUAGAUUGGUCUUUCUUGCCAUGGGAGAAGUUCUUAGCUUUGGGUUCAAUCUUGCGGUGUUCUUACCCAGUGACAGAAAGGGUUGCAAGACACGUAUUGUAUUGUUGCCAUCGAGGAUAACAAGAUGGGGUUUAUAUCGUAUUGCAUAUGUUUAUCCCUCUACAUCAUGUCAUCUUGCUUAAUGAGUUACUCUGUUCUUAUGAACUUCAUACUCCAGAUGCAGGCAGGAGUCAGUCGAUGUGUGGAGUAAUAGUAGUAGAUGCAGGCAGGAGUCGGUCUACUUGUUAUGGAUGUGAUGCCUAUAUACAUGAUCAUGCCUAGAUAAUCUCAUAACUAUGCGCUUUCCUAUCAAUUGCUCGACAGUAAUUUGUUCACCCACCGUAAUACUUAUCCUAUCUUGAGAGAAGCCUCUAGUGAAACCUAUGGCCCCGGGGUCUAUCUCUUAUCAUAUUUGCUUUCAAUCUACUUUUAUUUGCAUCUUUACUUUUUGCAUCUAUAUCAUAAAAUAUAUUUAUCUUAUCGUACUAUCUUUAUUAGAUCUCACUUUCGCAAGUGGCCGUGAAGGGAUUGACAACCCCUUUAUUGCGUUGGUUGCGGGUUCUCAGUUUGUUUGUGUAGGUGGGUGGGACUUUUGAGGAGCCUCCUACUGGAUUGAUACCUUGGUUCUCAAAACUUAGGGAAAUACUUACACUACACUUUGUUGCAUCACCCUCUCCUCUUCGAGGAAAACCAAUGCAAGCUCAAGACGUAGCAAGAAGGAUUUCUGGCGCCAUUGCCGGGGAGGUCUUCGCUCAAGUCAAGACAUACCAAGUACCCAUCACAAAACCAUCUCCCUCGCAUGUACAUUAUUUGCCAUUUGCAUCUCGUUUUCCUCUCCCCCACUUCACCCUUGCCGUUUUAUUCGCCCUCUUUUUCCCAAUCUUCUCCUCUCUCUUUUGCUUGCCCUUCAUUUGCUCGUUUGGUUGGAAUAGAUGCUUAUUUAUUGCUAAACAGAGAACCUAAGAUCUAUGGAUCCUCAUCCACUUUCUAAUCUUUUUAAGAGAUCCAAUUAUGAUGAACCAAUCGCUAGUGAGUUUUGUGCACUAGAUUAUCCUUAUGAAGCUUUGCUCAAAAUUUGUGAAUCUAAAAAUUAAGAUGAAGAAAUUUAUGAAGAGAUUCCUGAUAACUCCUUGAAUAAAAAGCAUGAUUGCAAUGAUUUUCCUAUAAAUUCUCUUGAUGUCAAUUGUGCUAAUAAUAUGCAAAACCCUAAGCUUGGGGAUGCUAGUUUUGCUAUGUCUACUACUUGUUUCAAUGAUCAUGAUUGGGGUGAUUCUUCUUAUAACCUUGAAAAUUUAUUUAAGCCCCAUGAUGAAUAUGAGAUUGAUAAUGGUGUUUGCAAUAAUAUUGAAAGUGGUUUUGGAAGAGUGUCAACUUUAGAUCCCACAUAUUUGGAGUAUGUUCAAUCUUAUGAUAUUUUUGAUAAAAGUGGGUUCGGAAAGGUCAUGACUUUAGUUAAUGUUAAUCCCACUAUCAUGGAAGAGUGUCAACUUUGCAUGCAUGUGGAUCAUGUUGAGAAUAUGUUUUGUGAUAGCUAUUUUGUUGAAUUUCCCUAUGAUCCUACAUGUAAUUAUUAUGAGAGAGGAAAAUAUGGUCGUAGAAAUUUUUAUCUUAUUAAAUUCCCUCUCGUCAUGUUGAGAUUGCUAUCGUAUCUUUCUUCUUCCUUGCGUAUACUAGUUUUUGCUUGCCUUGCAAAUUUGUUUGCUUAUAAUAUGCCUAUGCAUAGGAAGUAUGUUAGACUUAGAUGUGUUUGUCACGUGUUUUAUGAUGCUCUCUUUGUGCUUCAAUUCUUGUCUUUCAUGUGAGCAUCAUUGAAAUCUCAAUGCCUAGCUAAAAAAGGCUUUAAAGAAAAGCGCUUGUUGUCAGACAACCCAAUAUUUUUCCUUGCUGUUAUUUAAUAAAUCUUGCUUCUACCUUCUGUUUAGAUGUGUUUUUUAUCUUUUACUUAGUGUUUGUGCCAAGUAGAACCUAUAGGAUAACCUACGAUGAUAGUUGAUUUGAUUCUGCUGAAAAACAGAAACUUUGUGCGCACGGUUAUAAUUUUGUUAAAUCACAGGAACGUGCUUUUGCGGUGAUUCUUUUUUUUGCCGUUAAAUAGACAAAUUGUACAGGACUUCCUAUUUUGGUAAGAUUUUUAGAGUUCCAGAAGUUUGCGUUAGUUACAGAUUGCUACAGACUGUUCUGUUUUUGACAGAUUCUGUUUUUCGUGUGUUGUUUGCAAAUUUCAAUGCAUCUAUGGCUAGUAAUUCAGUCUAUGAACCAUAAAGAAGUUGGAAUACAGUAGGUUUAACACCAAUAUAAACAAAGAAUGAGUUCAUUGCAGUACCUUAUGUGGUGGUUUUGUUUUCUUUCACUAACGGAGCUUAUAAGAUUUCCUGUUGAGUUUUGUGUUGUGAAGUUUUCAAGUUUUGGGUAAAGCUUUUAUGGACCAUGGAAUAAGUAGUGGCAAGACCCUAAGCUUGGGUAUGCCCAUGGCACCCCAAGAUAUUUAAGGAUAGCCAAAAGCCUAAGCUUGGGGAUGCCCCGGGAAGGCAUCCCCUCUUUCGUCUUCGUUCAUUGGUAACUUUACUUGGAGCUAUAUUUUUAUUCGCCAAAUGAUAUGUGUUUUGCUUGGAGCGUCGUGUAUUAUAUUAGUCUUUGCUUUUUAGUUUACCACAAUCAUCCUUGCUGUACACACCUUUUGGGAGAAGCCUAUUUGAUUAGAAUUUGCUAGAAUACUCUAUGUGCUUCACUUUUAUCUUUUGAGUUUGAUAGUUUUGGCUCUAGUGCUUCACUUAUAUCUUUUAGAGCACGGUGGUGUCUUAAUUUUGAAGAAAUUGCUAGUCUCUCAUGCUUCACUUAUAUUAUUUUGAGAGUCUUUUAGAACAGCAUGGUAUUUUCUAUGAUCAUAAAGUUGGUCCUAGAAUGAUGAGCAUCCAAGUUGGGUAUAAUAAAAACUAUCAUAGAAAGUGAAUUGGAUGCUAUGAUCAAUUUCAUGUUUGAUAAUUGUUUUGAGAUAUGGGGGUAGUGAUAUUAAAGUCAUGCUAGUUGGGUGAUUAUGAAUUUAAAGAAUGCUUGUGUUGAAGUUUGUGAUUCCCGUAGCAUGCACGUAUGGUGAACCGCUUUGUGAUGAAGUCGGAGCACAAUUUUAUUUAUUGAUUGUCUUCCUUAUGAGUGGCGGUCGGGGACGAACGAUGGUCUUUUCUUACCAAUCUAUCCCCCUAGGAGCAUGCACGUAGUGCUUUGGUUUUUGAUGACUUCUAAAUUUUUGCAACAAGUAUAUGAGUUCUUUUGAUUAAUGUUGAGUCCAUAGAUUAUAUGCACUCUUUCACCCUUCCACCAUUGCUAGCCUCUCUUGUACGGCGCAACUUUCGCCGGUACCAUACACCCACCAUUUACCUUCCUCAAAACAGCCACCAUACCUACCUAUUAUGGCAUUUCCAUAGCCAUUCCGAGAUAUAUUGCCAUGCAACUUUCCACCGUUCCGUUCAUAUAACACGCAUUACUUUUGUCAUAUUGCUUUUUGCAUGAUCAUGUAGUUGACAUCGUAUUUGUGGCAAGGCCACCUUCAUAAUUUUCAUACAUGUCGCUCUUGAUUCAUUGCUUAUCCCGGUACACCACCGGAGGCAUUCAUAUAGAGUCAUAUCUUGUUCUAGCUUUGAGUUGUAAAUCCAUAAAAGUGUGAUGAUCUUCAUUAUUAGAGCAUUGUCCUAGUGAGGAAAGUAUGAUGAAGACUAUGAUUCCCCCACAAGUCGGGAUGAGACUUCGGACUUUACAAAAAGAAAAAAAGGGGGAGAGAAAGACCAAAAAGAAAAAAAAGGAAAUGCUAAAGAAAAAAAGAAAAAAAAGAAGAAGAAAAAAUGAGAGAAAAAGAGAGAAGGGACAAUGCUACUAUCUCUUUUUCCACACUUGUGCUUCAAAAUAGCACCAUGAUCUUCAUGAUUACAGAGUCUCAUAUGUUGUUACUUUCAUAUACUAGUGGGAAUUUUUCAUUAUAGAACUUGGCUUGUAUAUUCCAAUGAUGGGCUUCCUCAAAGUGCCCUAGGUUUUCGUGAGCAAGCAAGUUGGAUGCACCCCACUUAAUUUCUUUUGUUGAGCUUUCAUAUAUUUAUAGCUCUAGUACAUCCGUUGCAUGGCAAUCCCUACUCACUCACAUUGAUAUCUAUUAAUGGGCAUCUCCAUAGCCCAUUGAUACGCCUAGUUGAUGUGAGACUAUCUUCUCCUUUUUGUCUUCUCCACAACCACCAUUCUAUUCCACAUAUAGUGCUAUGUCCAUGGCUCACGCUCAUGUAUUGCGUGAAAGUUGAAAAGGUUUGAGAUUAUUAAAGUAUGAAACAAUUGCUUGGAUUGUCAUUGGGGUUGUGCAUGAUUAAAUACUUUGUGUGAUGAAGAUAGAGCAUAGCCAGACUAUAUGAUUUUGUAGGGAUAACUUUCUUUAGCCAUGUUAUUUUGAGAAGACAUGAUUACUUUGAUUAGUAUGCUUGAAAUAUUACUAUUUCUUAUGUCAAUAUGAACUUUUAUUUUGUAUUCAUUUCGAUCUGAACAUUCAUGCCACAAUAAAGAAAAAUACAUUAUGAAUUAUGCUAGGUAGCAUUCCACAUCAAAAAUUCUCUUUUUAUCAUUUACCUACUCGAGGACGAGCAGGAAUUAAGCUUGGGGAUGCUUGAUACGUCUCCAACGUAUCUAUAAUUUUUUAUUGUUCCAUGCUAUUAUAUUACCCCUUUUGGAUGUUUAUGGGCUUUAUUUUACACAUUUAUAUCAUUUUUGGGACUAACCUACUAACCGGAGGCCCAACCAUUUUGUUGUUUUUUUGCCUAUUUCAGUAUUUCGAAGAAAAGGAAUAUCAAACGGAGUCCAAAUGGAAUGAAAUCUUCGGGAGCGUGAUUUUUGGAACAAACGUGAUCCGGAGAGCUUGGAGUGCAAGUCAAUAAGCUUCCAAGGGCCCCACGAGAUAGGGGGCCACCCCCCCCCCCUGUAGGGCGCGCCCCCCUGUCUCGUGGGCCCCUCGGGCGGCCACCGACGUGCUUCUUCCUCCUAUAUAUACCUACGUACCCCGAAAACAUCCAGGAGCACCACGAAACACAAUUUCCACUGUCGUAACCUUCUGUAUCCGCGAGAUCCCAUCUUGGAGCCUUCGCCAGCACUCUGCCGGAGGGGGAAUCAACCACGGAGGGCCUCUACAUCAACAUCCUUGCCCCUCCGAUGAGUUGUGAGUAGUUUACCACAGACCUACGGGUCCAUAGUUAUUAGCUAGAUGGCUUCUUCUCUCUUUUUGGAUCUCAAUACAAUGUUCUCCCCCUCUCUUGUGGAGAUCUAUUCGAUGUAAACACUUUUUGCGUUGUGUUUGUCGAGAUCCGAUGAAUUGUGGGUUUAUGAUCAAGUUUAUCUAUGAAUAAUAUUUGAAUCUUCUCUGAAUUCUUUUAUGUAUGAUUGAGUUAUCUUUGCAAGUCUCUUCGAAUUAUCAGUUUGGUUUGGCCCACUAGAUUGGUCUUUCUUGCCAUGGGAGAAGUGCUUAGCUUUGGGCUCAAUCUUGCAGUGUUCUUACCCAGUGACAUAAAGGGUUGCAAGACACGUAUUGUAUUGUUGCCAUCGAGGAUAACAAGAUUGGGUUUAUAUCAUAUUGUAUGUGUUUAUCCCUCUACAUCAUGUCAUCUUGCUUAAUGCGUUACUCUGUUGUUAUGAACUUAAUACUCUAGAUGCAGGCAGGAGUCGGUCGAUGUGUGGAGUAAUAGUAGUAGAUGCAGGCAGGAGUCGGUCUACUUGUUAUGGCUGUGAUGCUUAUAUACAUGAUCAUGCCUAGAUAAUCUCAUAACUAUGCGCUUUUCUAUCAAUUGCUCGACAGUAAUUUGUUCACCCACUGUAAUACUUAUGCUAUCUUGAGAGAAGCCUCUAGUGAAACCUAUGGCCCCCGGGUCUAUCUCUUAUCAUAUUUGCUUUCAAUCUACUUUUAUUUGCAUCUUUACUUUUUGCAUCUAUAUCAUAAAAUACCAAUAAUAUAUUUAUCUUAUCAUACUAUCUUUAUUAGAUCUCACUUUCGCAAGUGGCCGUGAAGGGAUUGACAACCCCUUUAUUGCGUUGGUUGCGAGUUCUCAGUUUGUUUGUGUAGGUGUGUGGGACUUUUGAGGAGCCUCCUACUGGAUUGAUACCUUGGUUCUCAAAACUAAGGGAAAUACUUACGCUACACUUUGCUGCAUCACCCUCUCCUCUUUGAGGAAAACCAACGCAAGCUCAAGACGUAGCAGUGCACUUGGCGAGGGCCUUGCCGGGUGGCCCGGCAACGGUCUUGCUGCGGCGCGCUGGCUUCCCCGGCAAGGAUCUUGCCGGGGGUCUUGUGGGUUUCUUUGGUGAGGAUGGUUGCCUCCCCAUCCUUAUUUGAUCUUGUUCAUCUUAUGUCUUCACAAAGAUCUGCAUGCCACCACGGAGGUGCCUCCCGAGCCCUGCCUCAACGCGUUUGUCUGGCAUUUGGUGGGCUCAAGGGUGGCUCGUUCAGCUGGUGCGGGCGAGCUGCCCAGGCAAGGGUCUUGCCGGGGCUGCUGGGGCUGCCCCGGCAAGGAUCCUUGCCGAGGAAACCUGCUCCGUUCAUCUGAUCUUUGUGGCCUUGGUCCUUGUCGUUGCUCUGUUUGCCUUGUGGCUUCGACUUCUCUCCGGCUUCCCUUUCCUGCCCUGUUAUGUGUGGUCAUGGCGGGAGGCUCUGACUGCCCGUGCAUAAGUAAAGGGGUCAAAAGCAGAGCCCCUACUUUUGUACACCGGCAGGUUCUUUCCCUGAAAACACAACCAGCACAACUAUCCAGGUGGUCUCUGGAAGCAUCGGUUAGUCCAUUAUAAAAGAUAUCAAGUAUUUCAUUUUUCUUGAGAGGAUGAUCAGGGAAAGCAUUAAGUAAUCAGAGAAGCCUCCCCCAAGCUUGUGGGAGACUCUCCUCUUCAAUUUGCACAAAAUUAUAUAUUUCCCUUAAGGCAGCUUGUUUCUUAUGAGCGGGAAAUAUUUAGCGGAGAAGUAAUAAAUCAUAUCAUGGGGACUACGCACACAACCAGGAUCAAGAGAGUUAAACCAUGUUUUAGCAUCACCCUUUAAUAAGAAAGGAAAUAUCUUAAGGAUAUAGUAGUAGCGAGUUUUCUCAUCAUUAGUGAAUAGGGUGGCUAUAUCAUUCAACUUAGUAAGAUGUGCCACAAUAGUUUCAGAUUCAUAGCCAUAGAAAGGAUCAGAUUCAACCAAAGUAAUUAUCUCAGGAUCGACAGAGAAAUCAUAAUCCUUAUCAGUAACACAGAUAGGUGAAGUAGCGAAAGCAGGGUCAUAUUUCAUUCUAGCAUUCAGAGACUUUUCUUUAAGCUUAGCUAAUAAUUUCUUAAGAUCAUAUCUAUCAUUGCAAGCAAGAAAAUCUCUAGCAGUUUCUUCAUCCAUAACAUAACCCUCAGGAACAACAGGCAAUUCAUAUCUAGGGGGAGAAUCUUCAUCAUCACUUUCAUCAAUAUUAUCAGUUUCAAGAAUUUCAUUCUCUCUAGCCCUAGCAAGUUGUUCAUCAAGAAAUUCACCUAAUGGCACAGUAGUAUAAAGCAUAGAAGUAGUUUCAUCAUAAGUGUCAUGCAUAGCAGAAGUGGCAUCAUCAAUAACAUGCAACAUAUCAGAAUUAAUAGCAGAAGCAGGUUUAGGUGUCACAAGCUUACUCAAAACAGAUGGCGAAUCAAGUGCAGAGCUAGAUGGCAGUUCCUUACCUCCCCUUGUAGUUGAGGGGAAAAUCUUAGUUCUUUCGUCUUUCAAGUUCCUCAUAGUGAUCAGCAGAUAUAAAUCCCAAGUGACUCAAAGAAUAGAGCUAUGCUCCCCGGCAACGGUUCCAGAAAAUAGUCUUGAUAACCCACAAGUAUAGGGGAUUGCAACAGUUUUCAAGGGUAGAGUAUUCAACCCAAAUUUAUUGAUUCGACACAAGGGGAGCCAAAGAAUAUUCUCAAGUAUUAGCAGUUGAGUUGUCAAUUCAACCACACCUGGAUAAAUUAAUAUCUGCAGCAAAGUAUUUAGUAGCAAAGUAGUAUGGAAGUAACGGUAACAGUAGCAAAAGUAACAGUAGCAGUUUUGUAGUAAUUGUAACGGUGGCAACGGCAAAGUAACUAAGCAAAGAGCAAUAUGUGAAAAGCUCGUAGGCAUUGGAUCAGUGAUGGAUAAUUAUGUCGGAUGCAAUUCCUCAUGUAAUAGUAAUAACAUAGGGUGACAUAGAACUAGCUCCAGAUCAUCAAUAUAAUGUAUGCAAGUAUUCCGAAUAUAGUCAUACGUGCUUAUGGAAAAGAACUUGCAUGACAUCUUUUGUCCUACCCUCCCGUGGCAGUGGGGUCCUAUUGGAAGCUAAGGGAUAUUAAGGCCUCAUUUUAAUAGAGUACCGGACCAAAGCAUUAACACUUAGUGAAUACAUGAACUCCUCAAACUACGGUCAUCACCGAGAGUGGUCCCGAUUAUUGUCACUUCGGGGUUGUCGGAUCAUAACACAUAAUAUGUGACUAUAGACUUGCAAGAUAGGAUCAAGAACUCACAUAUAUUCAUGAAAACAUAAUAGGUUCACAUCUGAAAUCAUGGCACUCGGGCCCUAGUGACAAGCAUGAAGCAUAGCAAAGUCAUAUCAACAUCAAUCUCAGAACAUAAUGGAUACUAGGGAUCAAACUCUAACAAAACUAACUCGAUUACAUGGUAAAUCUUAUCCAACCCAUCACCGUCCAGCAAGCCUACGAUGGAAUUACUCACGCACGGCGGUGAGCAUCAUGAAAUUGGUGAUGGAGGAUGGUUGAUGAUGACGACGGCGACGGAUUCCCCUCUCCGGAGCCCCGAACGGACUCCAGAUCAGCCCUCCCGAGAGAGUUUAGGGCUUGGCGGCGGCUCCGUAUCGUAAAACGCGAUGAAUCCUUCUCUCUGAUUUUUUUCUCCCCAAACGUGAAUAUAUGGAGUUGGAGUUGAGAUCGGUGGAGCUCUAGGGGGCCCACGAGGCAGGGGGCGUGCCCUAGGGGGCGUCCCCCACCCUCAUGGACAAGGUGUGGGGCCCCUGAUGUUGAUUCUUUCGCCAAUAUUUUUUAUUAAUUCCAAAAAGUUGCUCCAUGGAUUUUCAGGUCAUUCUGAAAACUUUUAUUUCUGCACAAAAAUAACACCAUGGCAGUUCUGCUGAAAACAACGUCAGUCCGGGUUAGUUCUAUUCAAAUCAUGCAAGUUAGAGUUUAAAACAAGGGCAAAAGUGUUUGGGAAAGUAGAUACGACGGAGACGUAUCAGUCAUCGAUCCACUUGGCACUUGGGAGACGAAGGUUGAUCCAUGGGGAGGACUGUAGGAUGCUCCGCAUCAACACUCUAGAGGAAUAAGAUAGCAUUAUUGCAAUAGCAAAACAAAUCAACUCAAGGCACAGGAGAGGAUGAAGCACUUUGCUGAUAAAAGAGGACUGAUAGACAGCUAAGUGUGGGAGAUAUGGUUUACAUCAAGUUACAACCAUAUAGAUACACUUCACUCAGUAUUCAUAGACAUCUCAAACUGUAUUCCAAGUAUUAUGGACCCUUUAGGGUCUUACAAAGAGUAGGGCAGGCAUCCUACAAACUACUGCUUCCUCAUGACCCCACAUUCCACAUCAAUCAAUUGAAGAAACACUUGGGUCCCCAGGCCAUUCCUAACCCCCCCUGUUGGAUGAUAAUGGUCACAUUCUGGUACAACCAGAAGCUCUAUUGCAAAGAAAACUGAUUCCACGAGCUCAGGGCAACAUCAGCAUUCCUGUAGUCCAAUGGCUCAUCAAGUGGGCCAACCUACCAGUGGAGCAUGCAACAUGGGAAGAUUCAGGGUUCAUUCAAUGCAUUUCCCCCCAAUUCGAGCCCUGAGGACAGGUCUAAUGUCAAGGAGGGGAAUUGUCAGGCCCUACACUGAUGAAACUAAAAGAAAUGAACACUUAUCUUGUAGCUCAUCUAUUGUCAUUACCGGAUGCAAGCACGGAUGUCCGAUCUGCAUCCAGUGGUUGUCGUGGCUUCAUACCGAUUCGUAACAGGUAGCUCCCCAGGGCCGCAAAUCUUCCAUCCAACAGCCAUCGCGAGCUCUGCAAGCGAUGUUGCCUUUCAGACAAAGAAACACUUUACUUUAUUUAACUUUACUUGCUUUAGCUAUUUAUUUGGCUAUUAAAACCCCAUUUUGGGAUCAGUAGAUCCUUCUCUUGUGUAAGGGGUUCUCCCCAAGGUCGUCGUGUUCUAGCUGGUGAAGAACCCUAGCUUUUAUAGUCCUAGAUCCAAAAAUCAUUCCUCUGGAAGUGAGCUAAUCGAUGUGAAAUUGAGUCUCAACUCUGAAUAUUUCUUAGAACGUGAUAGAGGCGAGGGUGUCCCGACCUUUUGAUGAGAUUAUAACUAUAGAUUUUGUGGAGACUACUUUGACGAUCCGACUACAAACAUGCACGACAUAUCGCCUUAGCAAUCGCUAAACCAACUCCGAGAGGUUAUUGACCACGCCAGAGCACGAUCAACCUGGCCACGAAGGUCCAUUCGUGCAAGCAACCGAAGAACAAGCAAUAAUAUGAUAAGGCAAUCUGAAUAUUGUGAAUAUAUAUGAAGUAUUGAUAAAGGCGGGGAUCUAAAAGCGGUCUUGGUUUGGUCGUUCUACACAAACGAAAUACACGGAGUUGUGAUGGCUAACUUUUAACUAAACAAAUCUCAAGGAAAAAGCUACUAGAUGGAUCUACUUAUAUAGGAGCAAGGGGUGGCGGCCAAGGAGGUGGGAGGACGUCUCCAGUCAGCCUAAGACUAACCCUAGGUCGUACAAGGCCCAUGGGCCCAAGUGGAGGUGAUGCAACACCUUUGGACUUGUAGUUUGACUUGGAUUCUGCUGCAGCGUCAGAUUGUUUGGUCACUAUAUCAACGCUCCGGACGAAUUUGAAGGUGAAUCCAAUUGGGUUGGAAAGAGCACGAAAUCUAAUUUCCAACAAAAAAAAGAAUCACCCAAUUCGGAGUCCGGAUGAAAAAGAUCUUGGCAUUUUUAGUCAGGUAUGUCUGUGCAGUCCGAAUCUGAGUCCAAAACGUGAGAGACUUGGACUCUAUCUUCUCUUGGCCCAAAAGUGAUGUGAGAGGACUUUUUGAGCAGCACCUAAACUUCUCUUUUUCCCUUAUCUUUAUAAGUGGGGCACAAAAGUCUGUGAAGUAUUUUUGUUCUGGAUAACAUAAAUAAAGUAUUGCAUAGUUUGCAUUAGAAAUCACCUCACAAAUAUACAUGUAUGUAAUAUUUUUGUUGUAUCCAAGGUAGUCAUGUCCUCAUCAGAUCGUAGCUUGGAGCCUGUCAUAAUCUAUGCUAGCAAAAACCUGUGAAAGGAAACCAAAGCCUAAACAGUAACGAUAUUGCGUCUAAAUCUUGACAAGUGGUUUACUAUGUUUCCUGAAAAGAGGGAAAGAACCAUUAAAAUAAACAUAAAUGGCUCGCAUCGUACGUGUACAAUUUCAUUGUUGUUGCAUGUUAUGGAAUGGUCAAGUGGAGUAAUAUCUAUAUGGAGUAUUGAGAUUUUACUUGAAUUGAUGAAGCAAAAAAUGUGGAUCCAAAGUCAUCAUUAUGCAGAGUAACAAGAACCAAUUAGUAACAUACCAGGAAUGUUGAGAUAGUUGGAGUUAAAACACUAACAAAGGAUAAACAGAGAUGUCAAUACAGAAUAAUGGAGGAUGCAAUGUAAAGGGCACAAUUCAUGCAAAUGAGAAAUUGUGUCUUACGUGUCCUUCUUUGCAACUCUAGUUCAUAUCCUCCGUUAGUGUUAAGAAAAUUAACUUCCAAAAAAACUCACCAUUGUUAUACUUUGAUGGAAUCAAAGUUCAACUUUGAUAACAAUGUAUACCAAGAAAAUGUGACCUAUUGGGAAAACACAAAUUACUAACCUCAUCUGGAACCAGCAAGGAAGAUUGUGUGUGUCGCCAAGUUGUGGCAGGCUAGCAAUAAUGCCAAAUAUAUCAGAAACACAACAUAUAAACUGCAGAGCACAAGAAAAAAAUCAUCAAACACGAUUAGUGUGUUUCCAUGGCUUAACAUGAUGGUCGUCCGAUCUGGCAUGGACACUCGGGAUGGAUGGAUGGCUGAGGAGGGAUCAGAGGAAAGGUGGUGGGUGGCUGGUUGGUUGCGCACGGAAGUCAAGGGAAUGCUAGGGUUUGUUCAUUUUAGACAGGGGAGCCUUUCCUUUUAUAGAUAGGGGCAAAAGAGAGGGGUUUGGGAGCUGUUUUGGGCCAUCCAAUUUCAAUCGAACGCCACACAACAGAGAAAGGCUAGGUUUGCAUUAGUAGGCUAAAUAUUUAGGUGGGUUUUAGGUUGUGCAUUAGGUAGCUUCGGCCCAACCACAAGUUUCAUUCGCAAACGUUUAUUAUUUAGACCGACUAAUACACCUUACAUAUUUAAAGGUUCAGGUAGCAAACAGACUCCAUUUCAGAUAAAAUUUGGAACAUAGGUUCACUAAAAGCAUUGAGACCAUACAAAUCAUCUCAACUAUAUGGAAGAUCACGAACCAACCUGUAGUUGGAUGUUUAGGUGGACAGUGCUAUCCCCAGCCCACCAGGGUUCAAGUCAUGUGCUCGCAUUUAUCCUUAAUUUAUUUCUAGAAUUUGAGCGAUGCGUGUUCAGUGGUACGAGACGUUCCCAUCAACUACGUGGCGCCUACGGUGACUUCGUAAAAUCUCAAGAUGAUAUGUCGGCUCAGUCUCUCGGAGGUGCUCAUAGGGGUAGAAUGUGUGUCUGUGCGUUCAUAGGGGUGAGUGUAUGCGUGUAUAUAUGAGCGCUUGCGUCUGUACUUCGUUUAAAGAACUAUAUCAAAGAUUGUCUAACAUAUACUUAGAAAAUAUCUCCAUUCAUCUAGGAGGGGUUUGCAUUACAACCAGGAUUGUGCAAACAUCGUGACAUAAUUUGGGUACCUCCUAAAUAUCACAAUGAGGUCGUGUCUUGAUCUAGAACAACUCAAGAGAGAAGGUUUACUUAUUCACUAUUUAACAAAAUGGCAAAAUAAAAUAUUCAAAUUAAUUAUUUACUUAAAUAAAUUAAUAUUUAAUUAGGGGGGGACUUUGGGACUUUGCAGAUGCCCUGUCGGGUCAGGCCGGCCACCCGUCGGUCCUGGAUUGGGUUGCUGCCGACGAGGAUGGGAAUAGGGUGGCGCACUAUGGGUAGGCCAUCGGAGGAACCGUCGGGGCAGUGAGAGAGAGGGAGUGUGGUAUGAUUGUAUGAAUGGGCAGUGGAUGGUGACGGGAGCGAGGGGAGAAAGUUCUUUUUAGGAACGAGGGGAGAAAGGUAUGAGACGUCCCAUCACCUCCCGUGAUUCCCAACGCACGCAGGCGAGAGGUGUGUGGCUCAAGCAAGUCUAGCUCGAGAAAAACGGUCCAUUCGGACAUUCUCCCUUAGCCUGGCCCAGGAAUGCUUUAAGCUUCUUGGCCGGGAAACGCAUGCAACUCGGCCCAAACGCCCAAUUUUUGCAUCGCAUGGGCUUGGUUGGGCCUCAUGUAAGUGGGAAAACAUCUUAUGCUACUACACCUUAGAUGAUACCAAGGGCACCAGGGUCGUUAGAUUUGUGAUCAUACGGAUAGCAUUGCCGGAUGUGGACCAAACCGCCAUUUCGGGAAUGUUUGGAUUUUUUUAUGCAAAACUCACACUACAGAAGCCCAUAUCGCAGUAGCGGCUUUUGUUUUGUUUGUUACAUGUAAACCAAAGAGGGGCGCAAGGGCCAAAUAGAUUUGUGAUCAUACGGAUAGCAUUGUCGGAUGUGGACCAAACCUCCAUUUCGGGAAUGUUUGGAUUUGUUUUGUGCAAAACUCACACUGCAGAAGCCCAUAUCACAGUAGCGGCUUUUGGUUUGUUUGUCACAUUUUUUGAUAAAGGGCGAUUUUAUUAACUCAAAAUGUAGCAUUGAUUGGAUACAAAGCAUUAUGGGCAACACCCAGCCUCUGCAUAACUGGGAUGCACACAGCCGAACACCAAAAGUCUAACAACCAGAAGAAAACAAAAACCAACAAAUCGGCAAUAGUAGUCAUAUAGACCGACAUGGUGUGUUGUAGGGUCAAACCCUAGGAAGGAUCUUUUCACACUUGGAGGGGGAAAAGGAGGAAAACACUCAAGAACACCAAGAACAAGACUCUCAAACAAACCCAAAUAUCACAUCCACUAGAGUAGCACACAUGAGAUCCACAAGAUUACAAGAUCAAUACAAGGAGAGUAGCACUUGGUAAAUUCUUCCCACUAGGUGAGGUCUUGAUGAUCUUCUCCGAGAGGAGGCCUUGACAAUCCAAUGGAUUCUUCCCUAGGUGGGGGCUUGAUCUCCUAAGAGGAGGGGGAUACAAGGAGCAAAGGCUCACAAUGCUUAGUCUAAUCUUUGCUAACCCUCCAAGUGAGCUAGGAAGGGGGUACUUAUAGUCUAGGGGCGAAAUAAGAGGGGGAGACGGUUACAAGGGCAAAAGCCCCAUCUUGCACGCAGGCUCGCUGAGUGGUCCGGGCACCCGGGGCGAAGGGGUCGGGCACCCAGACCGGACAAAGGCACCGGCUCAGGCGGGACCGGGCACCCGGGGAAAAGGGGUCGGGCACCCGGCCUAGUCAGGGGGCCGGCUGGUGCUAACCGGGCACCUGGGGCUCCAAGUCCGGGCACCCGGGGGGCGGUUGGGAGCCGACGCGAGGGGGGCCGGGCACCCGGGGUUGAGGGCCUGGGCACCCGGGGCUGGCUGGGGACGCGGCCCAGCUCCUGGCCGGGCACCCGGGGCCGGCUGAGGCGCAGCCCAGGCAGGGGCCGGGCACCCGGGGUGUCCCGGGGGUUUUUCCUCCCCUCCUCCUUCUUCACUCUUCUCGACCUCUCCUUCCUUCUCUCGCUCCAUGAAGGCUCGCAGCUCCGUCUUCUCCUUCUCGCGGUGAACUUCCUCGUACCUAAGAAUGAACAAUGUUUCCGUUCGAGGUAGAAUCCAAUCCUCACACGAAUUCAAACGAGACUUGAAUAGGAAAGAGUUCACCUCGUUUUCGAUGUGGCACGCAUGUGCUCUUGUCAUUGGCCCUCUUAGUGUUUGCGGUGGUGAUGGAGUGUCGGUGCGGGUAGUUGAGGGAUGCUCCGCAUCAUCUCCCCCCCCCCCUUGGGAGAGAUCCGACCUCGGAUCAUGAUCCUCAUCACCACGGAAACGGUUGGCGUGGAUGAACUUGUAGUUGGAUGAAGUGGAAGUCAUGGUGCAAUCCAAGCACUCCAAGGUGACGCCGUAGGAGUAUACGUGCAAAAAGAGAAAACACAAACAACACUCGGAAAUACAAUGGUUAGCACAUACAAAUUGUCCAUUAAGUACGAAUGAGUCCGUGCGGCAAGAUUGUUCAUGGCAAAGCACAUGAAGCUUAUCAAGAUGAAAUAGAAUGAGAUGCAAAGCGUUCAUGGGAGCAAAAGCAUUCAUUGUGCACACAAAUGUGUUGUGAAUAUGAUCAAUGCAACCACGAUGCAAAAUGAUGUCAUAGUGAGACGGUUUAUCAAUAGCAUGAAUAUGGCAAUGGAUGCUCAAUAUGAAAAAGUUAUCAUGUAAUUGAUGGUAGGCAAUAAGAUCAUGAUGUAUAAAUAUGCCAUCAAGGAAGAUCACAACAAAUUUGCUAAGGAAAUGCACAAGCUCAAAUAUCAUGGGAAUACGAUAUGCAACAAGGCAAUCAUAAUGUGUGUCAGUCCAUGCAUAGGGUGCAAACUUGCGGUGAGUAUGAGAUGUCCAUCGAGCAUGACAUGUGGAAGCAUAAUCAACCAAUAUGGAGGUUGUGGUACAAAAAGUCAAAGGAGUGUUGAUGUACCAAAGCUCAAUGUCGUCGCAUGAGUGGAGUUCCGAAGGUGCAACCAAUAAGUGUGAGCGCUCCUCAACUUGAAGGUCCAUAGAGCCAAUCUCCAAUGUCGCUCCUCCGUUUGCGAGAUGUGUCAUGUAGAUAACAAGAAGGAAACAACAAUGAAAGAGUGACCCAUCCAAUGUGCGUAUUUGAGGAUGGCUCAAAGGGAAGGAGGUCACCUUUAGGACUUUCUCAAGGAUGAUGGAGUCGCGCAUCUUGUAUGCCUUCACAUAACCAAUAUGUCUCGUGGUGGUACCGCCUUGUAAAUCCUUCAAAAUGAAAGAACAUGACAAACACUUGGAAAAACAAAUGAGGUUAGCGGAAGGGCCAAAUCUAUCAUUCGUGUGGUAAGAUACCCAACAAGUGUAUGCAUAAUGCUCAUCGUAAGAAAUGACAAGGUAGUAUUGCAUAGUAUGGAGGCAUAUGAUGCGAGAACAACCAAAUGCAAUCGGCUCAAUCAAACAAGCAUGCAUCACAAGUAAAGUGUCAAAGUCUCCAAUAUCAAUAAGCAUAGUAUGGUUUCACUCAAUACAAGUAGAUAUGAAAGAGGCAACUAAUGGACACAAGAGACAAUGAUCAAGAUAUAUCAUGUGAGAGGCAUGAACAUAUAUGUCAUCAACCCAAGAAAGCGAGUAAGAGUGGAACAUGGGUGAUGCAACCAAGCAAGCAAUCAUAGCAAUCAAGUCAAGCAAGCUAGUAGUGUGAAGAUGCAACAUACUAGGAGGAAUCAUGGCAAGCAUGUCAUGGGUGCAAAUAGUGGGUAUAUAUAAUGCACAUGACAUAUCACAAUCAUGAAAAGAAGAUAUGAGGAAAGUAGGCUCAUGGUGUUGGCAAGAAGUUCUAUGUAAAUAGCAAUGUAACAUCAUGACUCUCCCAUCACAAGAAUCAACAAUAGCAUGAGGCACAUGAUAAACAUGGCAAAAGCAGCAACGAUCUCCACCAAGCAUGCAAAUACACAUAGGAAUAUCAUAAUGGUGCAUCAUGGGUAAAUGCAAGCAAGGGUCACAAUUGCAUGGCAAAGUCAUGUAACGAGGCAUAACAUGCAAAUUGAACACGAUAGUAUGGGCAUAAGGUGACAAGCGGUAGAUAGCCCAUAGCGUGUGAGAGCCAAGUAAAAGAGAUGCGUGUAGUCCUUGCGCGAAGGGAGCGGUGGUAAGGGUAAACCAUGGGAUCCCAAGUCAUCAUUGCUCUCAAGAGCUCGUUUCGUCAACUUGUGGGAUUGAGACGUUGACGAGUCUACGUGAGUACCUACACACAACAAAGACAAAGGGAAAAUUUGAAGGAAAUAUGCCCUAAAGGCAAUAAUGAAGUUAUUAUUUAUUUCCUCAUAUCAUGAUAAAUGUUUAUUAUUCAUGCUAGAAUUGUAUUAACCGGAAACAUGAUACAUGUAUGAAUACAUAGACAAACAUAGUGUCACUAGUAUGCCUCUACUUGACUAGCUCAUUGAUCAAAGAUGGUUAUGUUUCCUAACCAUAGACAUGUGUUGUCAUUUGAUUAAUGGGAUCACAUCAUUAGGAGAAUGAUGUGAUUGACUUAACCCAUUCCGUUAGCUUAGCACUUGAUCGUUUAGUAUGUUGAUAUUGCUUUCUUCAUGACUUAUACAAAGUUCCUACAACUAUGAGAUUGUGCAACUCCCGUUUACCGGAGGAACACUUUGUGUUCUGCCAAACGUCACAACGUAACUGGGUGAUUAUAAAGGUGCUCUACAGGUGUCUCCAAAGGUACAUGUUGAGUUGGCAUAAUUCGAGAUUAGGUUUUGUCACUCCGAUUGUCGGAGAGGUAUCUCUGGGCCCUCUCGGUAAUACUCAUCACUUAAGCCUUGCAAGCAUUGUAACUAAUGAGUUAGUUACGAAAUGAUGUAUUAUGGAACGAGUAAAGAGACUUGACGGUAACGAGAUUGAACUAGGUAUUGGAUACCGACGAUCGAAUCUCGGGUAAGUAACAUACCGAUGACAAAGGGAACAACGUAUGUUGUUAUGCGGUUUGACCGAUAAAAAUCUUCAUAGAAUAUGUAGGAACCAAUAUGAACAUCCAGGUUCCACUAUUGGUUAUUGACCGAGAAUAGUUCUAGGUCAUGUCUACAAAGUUCUCGAACCCGUAGGGUCCGCACGCUUAACGUUACGAUGACAGUUUUAUUAUGAGUUUAAAAGUUUUGAUGUACCGAAGUUUGUUCGGAGUCCCGGAUGUGAUCACGGACAUGACGAGGAGUCUCGAAAUGGUCGAGACAUAAAGAUUGAUAUAUUGGACGACUAUAUUCGGACACCGGAAGUGUUCCGGGUGAUUUCGGAGAAAACCAGAGUGCCGGAGGGUUACCGGAACCCCCCUGGGAGAGUUAAUGGGCCACAUGGGCCUUAGUGGAAAGAGAGAGGGGCGGCCAGGGUGGGCCGCGCGCCCCCUCUCCCUCUGGUCCGAAUUGGACUAGGAGGGGGGCGGCGCCCCCCUCUUUCCUUCCCCCUCUCCCCCUUCCUUUCCCCCUCCUAGUAGGAGUAGGAAAGGGGGAGUCCUACUCCUACUAGGAGGAGGACUCCUCCUUGACGCGCCCACAAGGGCCGGCCGGCCUCCCCCUUGCUCCUUUAUAUAUGGGGGCGGGGGGGCACCCUAGAGACACACAAGUUGAUCUACGGAUCGUUCCUUAGCCCUGUGCGGUGCCCCCCUCCACCAUAUUCCACCUCAGUUAUAUCGUCGCGGAGUUUAGGCGAAGCCCUGCGCCGGUAGAACAUCAUCAUCGUCACCAUGCCGUCAUGCUGACGGAACUCAUCCCCGACACUUUGCUGGAUUGGAGCCUAGGGAACGUCAUCGAGCUGGAAGUGUGCUGAACACGGAGGUGCCGUACGUUCGGUGCUUGGAUCGGUCAGAUCGUGAAGACGUACGACUACAUCAACCGCAUUAUCAUAACGCUUCCGCUUAACGGUCUACGAGGGUACGUAGACAACACUCUCCCCUCUCGUUGCUAUGCCAUCACCAUGAUCUUGCGUGUGCGUAGGAAAAUUUUUGAAAUUACUACGUUCCCUAACAAUGGUAUCAGAGCCAGGUUUUAUGCGUUGAUGUUAUAUGCACGAGUAGAACACAAGUGAGUUGUGGGCGAUACAAGUCAUACUGCUUACCAGCAUGUCAUACUUUGGUUCGGCGGUAUUGUUGGAUGAAGCGGCUCGGACCGACAUUACGCGUACGCUUACGCGAGACUGGUUCUACCGACGUGCUUUGCACACAGGUGGCUGGCGGGUGUCAGUUUCUCCAACUUUAGUUAAACCGAGUGUGGCUACACCCAGUCCUUGCGAAGGUUAAAACAGCACUGACUUGGCGAACUAUCGUUGUGGUUUUGAUGUGUAGGUAAGAACGGUUCUUGCUAAGCCCGUAGCAGCCACGUAAAACUUGCAACAACAAAGUAGAGGACGUCUAACUUGUUUUUGCAGGGCAUGUUCUGAUGUGAUAUGGUCAAGACGUGAUGCUAUAUUUAUUGUAUGAGAUGAUCAUGUUUUGUAACCGAAGUUAUCGGCAACUGGCAGGAGCCAUAUGGUUGUCACUUUAUUGUAUGAAAUGCAAACGCUCUGUAAUUGCUUUACUUUAUCACUAAGCAGUAGCGAUAGUAGUAGAAGCAAUAGAUGGCGUAAACGACAACGAUGCUACAAUGGAGAUCAAGGUGUCGCGCCGGUGACGAUGGUGAUCACGACGGUGCUUCGGAGAUGGAGAUCACAAGCACAAGAUGAUGAUGGCCAUAUCAUAUCACUUAUAUUGAUUGCAUGUGAUGUUUAUCCUUUAUGCAUCUUAUCUUUCUUUGAUUAGCGGUAGCAUUUUAAGAUGAUCUCUCACUAAAAAUUAUCAAGAAGUGUUCUCCCUGAAUAUGCACCGUUGCCAAAGUUCGUCGUGCCCAGAAACCAUGUGAUGAUCAGGUGUGAUAAGUUCUAUGUCCAUCUACAACGGGUGCAAGCCAGUUUUGCACACGCAGAAUAUUCAGGUUAUACUUGACGAGCCUAGCAUAUGCAGAUAUGGCCUCGAAACACAGAGACCGAAAGGUCGAGCAUGAAUCAUAUAGUAGAUAUGAUCAACAUAGUGAUGUUCACCAUUGAAAACUACUCCAUCUCACGUGAUGAUCGGUUAUGGUUUAGUUGAUUUGGAUCACAUAAUCACUUAGAUGACUAGAGAGAUAUCUAUCUAAGUGGGAGUUCUUAAGUAAUAUGAUUAAUUGAACUUAAAUUUAUCAUGAACUUAGUACCUAAUAGUAUUUUGCUUGUCUAUGUUUGUUGUAGAUAGAUGGCUCGUGCUGUUGUUCCGUUCAAUUUUAAUGCGUUCCUUGAGAAAGCAAAGUUGAAAGAUGAUGGUAGCAAUUACACGGACUGGGUCUGUAACUUGAGGAUUAUCCUCAUUGCUGCACAGAAGAAUUACGUCCUGGAAGCACCGCUGGGUGCCAGGCCUGCUGCAGGAGCAACGCCAGAUGUGGUGAAUGUCUGGCAGAGCAAAGCUGAUGACUACUCUAUAGUUCAGUGUGCCAUGCUUUACGGCUUAGAACCGGGUCUUCAACGACGUUUUGAACGUCAUGGAGCAUAUGAGAUGUUCCAGGAGUUGAAGUUAAUAUUUCAAGCAAAUGCCCGGAUUGAGAGAUAUGAAGUCUCCAAUAAGUUCUACAGCUGCAAGAUGGAGGAGAAUAGUUCUGUCAGUGAGCAUAUACUCAAAAUGUCUGGGUAUAAUAAUCACUUGAUUCAACUGGGAGUUAAUCUUCCGGAUGAUAGCGUCAUUGACAGAAUUCUCCAAUCACUGCCACCAAGCUACAAGAGCUUCGUGAUGAACUAUAAUAUGCAAGGGAUGAACAAAACAAUUCCCGAGCUCUUCGCAAUGCUAAAGGCUGCGGAGGUAGAAAUCAAGAAGGAGCAUCAAGUGUUGAUGGUCAACAAGACCACUAGUUUCAAGAAAAAGGGCAAAGGGAAGAAGAAGGGGAACUUCAAGAAGAACAGCAAGCAAGUUGCUGCUCAAGAGAAGAAACCCAAGUCUGGACCUAAGCCUGAAAAUGAGUGCUUCUACUGCAAGCAAACUGGUCACUGGAAGCGGAACUGUCCCAAGUAUUUGGCGGAUAAGAAGGAUGGCAAAGUGAACAAAGGUAUAUGUGAUAUACAUGUUAUUGAUGUGUACCUAACUAGAGCUCGUAAGAGCACCUGGGUAUUUGAUACUGGUUCUGUUGCUAAUAUUUGCAACUCGAAACAGGGACUACGGAAUAAGCGAGCACUGGCCAAGGACGAGGUGACGAUGCACGUGGGAAACGGUUCCAAAGUCGAUGUGAUCGCGGUCGGCACGCUACCUCUACAUCUACCUUAGGGAUUAGUUUUAGACCUGAAUAAUUGUUAUUUGGUGCCAGCGUUGAGCAUGAACAUUAUAUCUGGAUCUUGUUUGAUGCGAGAUGGUUAUUCAUUUAAAUCAGAGAAUAAUGGUUGUUCUAUUUAUAUGAGUAAUAUCUUUUAUGGUCAUGCACCCUUGAAGAGUGGUCUAUUUUUAUUGAAUCUCGAUAGUAGUGAUACACAUAUUCAUAAUGUCGAAGCCAAAAGAUGCAGAGUUGAUAAUGAUAGUGCAACUUAUUUGUGGCACUGCCGUUUAGGUCAUAUCGGUGUAAAGUGCAUGAAGAAACUCCAUACUGGUGGACUUUUGGAAUCACUUGAUUAUGAAUCACUUGGUACUUGCGAACCGUGCCUCAUGGGCAAGAUGACUAAAACACCGUUCUCCGGUACUAUGGAGAGAGCAAAAGAUUUGUUGGAAAUCAUACAUACAGAUGUAUGUGGACCGAUGAAUAUUGAAGCUCGUGGCGGAUAUCGUUAUUUUCUCACCUUCACAGAUGAUUUGAGCAGAUAUGGGUAUAUCUACUUAAUGAAACACAAGUCUGAAACAUUUGAAAAGUUCAAAGAAUUUCAGAGUGAAGUGGAAAAUCAUCGUAACAAGAAAAUUAAGUUUCUACCAUCUGAUCGUGGAGGAGAAUAUUUGAGUUACGAGUUUGGUUUACAUUUGAAACAAUGCGGAAUAGUUUCGCAACUCACGCCACCCGGAACACCACAACAAAAUGGUGUGUUCGAACGUCGUAAUCGUACUUUACUAGAUAUGGUGCGAUCUAUGAUGUUUCUUACUGAUUUACCGCUAUCGUUUUGGGGUUAUGCUUUAGAGACGGCUGCAUUCACAUUGAAUAGGGCACCAUCAAAAUCCGUUGAGAUGACGCCUUAUGAACUGUGGUUUGGCAAGAAACCAAAGUUGUCAUUUCUUAAAGUGUGGGGCUGCGAUGCUUAUGUGAAGAAAAUUCAACCAGAUAAGCUCGAACCCAAAUCGGAGAAAUGUGUCUUCAUAGGAUACCCAAAAGAGACUGUUGGGUACACCUUCUAUCACAGAUCCGAAGGCAAGACAUUCAUUGCUAAGAAUGGAUCCUUUCUAGAAAAAGAGUUUCUCUCGAAAGAAGUGAGUGGGAGGAAAGUAGAACUUGAUGAGAUAACUAUGUCUGCUCCCUUAUUGGAAAGUAGUUCAUCACAGAAAUCAGUUCCUGUGACAUCUACACCAAUUAGUGAGGAAGAUAAUGAUAUUGAUCAUGAAACUUCAGAUCAAGUUUCUACUGAACCUCGUAGGUCUACCAGAAUAAAAUCUGCACCAGAGUGGUACGGUAAUCCUAUUCUGGAAGUCAUGUUACUUGACCAUGAUGAACCUACAAACUAUGAGGAAGCGAUGAUGAGCCCAGAUUUCGCAAAAUGGCUAGAAGCCAUGAAAUAUGAGAUGGGAUCCAUGUAUGAGAACAAAGUAUGGACUUUGGUUAACUUGCCCGAUGAUCGGCAAGCCAUUGAGAAUAAAUGGAUCUUUAAGAAGAAGACUGACGCUGACGGUAAUGUAACUGUCUAUAAAGCUCGACUUGUUGCGAAAGGUUUUCGACAAGUUCAAGGGGUUGACUACGAUGAGACUUUCUCACCCGUAGCGAUGCUUAAGUCUGUCCGAAUCAUGUUAGUGAUUGCCGCAUUUUAUGAUUAUGAAAUUUGGCAGAUGGAUGUCAAAACUGCAUUUCUGAAUGGAUUUCUGGAAGAAGAGUUGUAUAUGAUGCAACCGGAAGGUUUUUUCGAUCCUAAGGGAGCUAACAAAGUGUGCAAGCUCCAGCGAUCAAUCUAUGGUCUGGUGCAAGCCUCUCGGAGUUGGAAUAAACGCUUUGAUAGUGUGAUCAAAGCAUAUGGUUUUAUACAGACUUUUGGAGAAGCCUGUAUUUACAAGAAAGUGAGUGGGAGCUCUGUAGCAUUUCUAAUAUUAUAUGUGGAUGACAUAUUGUUGAUUGGAAAUGAUAUAGAAUUUCUGAAUAGCAUAAAAGGAUACUUGAAUAAAAGUUUUUCAAUGAAAGACCUCGGUGAAGCUGCUUACAUAUUGGGCAUUAAGAUCUAUAGAGAUAGAUCAAGACGCUUCAUUGGACUUUCACAAUGCACGUACCUUGAUAAAGUGUUGAAAAGGUUCAAUAUGGAUCAGGCGAAGAAAGGGUUCUUGCCUGUAUUACAAGGUAUAAAGUUGAGUCAGACUCAAUGCCCGACCACUGUAGAAGAUAGAGAGAAAAUGAAAGGAGUUCCCUAUGCUUCAGCCAUAGGCUCUAUCAUGUAUGCAAUGUUGUGUACCAGACCUGAUGUGUGCCUUGCUAUUAGUUUGGCAGGGAGGUACCAAAGUAAUCCAGGAGUGGGUCACUGGACAGCGGUCAAGAACAUCUUGAAAUACCUGAAAAGGACUAAGGAUAUGUUUCUCGUAUAUGGAGGUGACAAAGAGCUAGUCGUAAAUGGUUACGUCGAUGCAAGCUUUGACACUGAUCCGGACGAUUCUAAAUCACAAACCGGAUACGUAUUUUUAUUAAACGAUGGAGCUGUAAGUUGGUGCAGUUCUAAACAAAGCGUCGUGGCGGGAUCUACAUGUGAAGCAGAGUACAUAGCUGCUUCGGAAGCAGCAAAUAAAGGAGUGUGAAGGAGUUCAUUUCCGAUCUAGGUGUUAUACCUAGUGCAUCGGGACCAAUGAAGAUCUUCUGUGACAAUACUGGUGCAAUUGCCUUGGCAAAGGAAUCCAGAUUUCACAAGAGGACCAAGCACAUCAAGAGAUGCUUCAAUUCCAUUCGAGACCAAGUCCACGUGGGAGACAUAGAGAUUUGCAAGAUACAUACGGAUCUGAAUGUUGCAGACCCGUUGACUAAGCCUCUCUCACGAGCAAAACAUGAUCAGCACCAAGACUCCAUGGGUGUUAGAAUCAUUACUAUGUAAUCUAAGAUUAUUGACUCUAGUGCAAGUGGGAGACUGAAGGAAAUAUGCCCUAGAGGCAAUAAUAAAGUUAUUAUUUAUUUCCUCAUAUCAUGAUAAAUGUUUAUUAUUCAUGCUAGAAUUGUAUUAACCAGAAACAUGAUACAUGUGUGAAUACAUAGACAAACAUAGUGUCACUAGUAUGCCUCUACUUGACUAGCUCAUUGAUCAAAGAUGGUUAUGUUUCCUAACCAUAGACAUGUGUUGUCAUUUGAUUAAUGGGAUCACAUCAUUAGGAGAAUGAUGUGAUUGACUUGACCCAUUUCGUUAGCUUAGCACUUGAUCGUUUAGUAUGUUGCUAUUGCUUUCUUCAUGACUUAUACAAAGUUCCUACAACUAUGAGAUUGUGCAACUCCCGUUUACCGGAGGAACACUUUGUGUUCUGCCAAACGUCACAACGUAACUGGGUGAUUAUAAAGGUGCUCUACAGGUGUCUCCAAAGGUACAUGUUGAGUUGGCAUAAUUCGAGAUUAGGUUGUUUCACUCCGAUUGUCGGAGAGGUAUCUCUGGGCCCUCUCGGUAAUACUCAUCACUUAAGCCUUGCAAGCAUUGUAACUAAUGAGUUAGUUACGAAAUGAUGUAUUACGGAACGAGUAAAGAGACUUGCCGGUAACGAGAUUGAACUAGGUAUUGGAUACCAAUGAUCGAAUCUCGGGCAAAUAACAUACGGAUGACAAAGGGAACAACGUAUGUUGUUAUGCGGUUUGACCGAUAAAAAUCUUCGUAGAAUAUGUAGGAACCAAUAUGAACAUCCAGGUUCCACUAUUGGUUAUUGACCGAGAAUAGUUCUAGGUCAUGUCUACAUAGUUCUCGAACCCGUAGGGUCCGCACGCUUAACGUUACGAUGACAGUUUUAUUAUGAGUUUAUAAGUUUUGAUGUACCGAAGUUUGUUCGGAGUCUCGGAUGUGAUCACGGACAUGACGAGGAGUCUCAAAAUGGUUGAGACAUAAAGAUUGAUAUAUUGGACGACUAUAUUCGGACACCGGAAGUGUUCCGGGUGAUUUCGGAGAAAACCGGAGUGCCGGAGGGUUACCGGAACCCCCCCCCCCAGGAGAGUUAAUGGGCCACAUGGGCCUUAGUGGAAAGAGAGAGGGGCGGCCAGGGUGGGCCACGNNNNNNNNNNNNNNNNNNNNNNNNNNNNNNNNNNNNNNNNNNNNNNNNNNNNNNNNNNNNNNNNNNNNNNNNNNNNNNNNNNNNNNNNNNNNNNNNNNNNNNNNNNNNNNNNNNNNNNNNNNNNNNNNNNNNNNNNNNNNNNNNNNNNNNNNNNNNNNNNNNNNNNNNNNNNNNNNNNNNNNNNNNNNNNNNNNNNNNNNNNNNNNNNNNNNNNNNNNNNNNNNNNNNNNNNNNNNNNNNNNNNNNNNNNNNNNNNNNNNNNNNNNNNNNNNNNNNNNNNNNNNNNNNNNNNNNNNNNNNNNNNNNNNNNNNNNNNNNNNNNNUAGGAAAGGGGGAGUCCUACUCCUACUAGGAGGAGGACUCCUCCUCCUUGGCGCGCCCACAAGGGCCGGCCGGCCUCCCCCCUUGCUCCUUUAUAUACGGGGGCGGGGGGCACCCUAGAGACACACAAGUUGAUCUACGGAUCGUUCCUUAGCCGUGUGCGGUGCCCCCCUCCACCAUAUUCCACCUCGGUUAUAUCGUCGCGGAGUUUAGGCGAAGCCCUGCGCCGGUAGAACAUCAUCAUCGUCACCACGCCGUCGUGCUGACGGAACUCAUCCCCGACACUUUGCUGGAUUGGAGCCCGGGGAACGUCAUCGAGCUGGACAUGUGCUGAACACGGAGGUGCAAUACGUUCGGUGCUUGGAUCGGUCGGAUCGUGAAGACGUACGACUACAUCAACCGCGUUGUCAUAACGCUUCCGCUUAACGGUCUACGAGGGUACGUAGACAACACUCUCCCCUCUCGUUGCUAUGCCAUCACCAUGAUCUUGCGUGUGCGUAGGAAAUUUUUUGAAAUUACUACGUUCCCUAACAAAAUUGUGUGUGCGUGGUAUAUGUACACAUCAUCCCUUAUGAUGUGCACGUGCGUGUGUUGGUUUGCACAAAAUAGCCAAUGCUCAAAUAAGUGAGAUGCGUGAUAUAGAAACAUGUCAUCCAUCAUGAGAGGUUUGUCAUUAUGUAUAGCAUAAUGGAGACUCAAAUUGUGGAAAGCGUCACUAGUGAUAUCUAGAGCAUUGUCAUGCAUAUGAUGCAAACAAUUAUGGGAAAUCUCACCCAUAGCAUAUGACAAGUUUAAUGGAUUGUCAAACAUGACGUGACCUCUAGAAUUUUUACAAGAUAUCCUAUGGAGCAUGGUAUCACAACUAGGCAAAUCAACAUGCUCAUCAUCAUAUUCAUCAUAAAUAGGUGGCAUAUCUAAGCAUGUAGAAAACAUAGUAUGUGGUGAAUCCAUAAGGUGAUCAUCAUCAUGUGAGCAAUCAAUGUCAAGCGAGUCCACUAGUGGGACAAGAGAAGCACCAUCACCUAUGUUACCUUUGAAGCAUCGCUCAUGUGUGGUAGGUGAGGUGUCGAAGAUCCACUCAUUGUUAUCUUCAUCUUGAUGGAACCAUGUGGGGGUGCAUCAUCAUCCACCAUGGCCAUCGUCAUCUCCAUUGGAGGUAUGGACUCGUCGAGUAUAGGCAUGUCGUCAUGUAGGAGACCUAGCACCAAAGAAAACACAUUCGGAGUAGAGGUUAAGCUGUUAGAAAUCAUAGCGGCGUAACAUGCCGUGUCAACUACCUCACUCACUAAGUGUUGUGGCUCACGCACUCCCUUAAGGAUGCACUCACUCAUAUGGGUAGUGGAGUUACUCAAAUGGCUCUCAACCUCACAUAGGAUGUGUGGCAUGCUCUCAAGUGUGGGGCUAGUGGUGGUCACACUCAUCCUCUCAUAGGAAAUGCACUCAAAGUCACAUAUGGUGGAGUCACUCAUGUCACUCAUGUGGUAGUGGCUCUCCUCACAUGGGAUUUGGGGCAUCUCUUCAUAUGUGAGUGUCGGAGAGAUGUUGGUGCAAAUGUCUGCAUGCUCAACGCCUAUCGCCGCCUUGGUUGAAGGGAUAGUCCCAUGCUCAACCUUCUCGCCAUCGUCGCCGUGGAUGAAGGCCGAAGAUGGCACAUCAUCACUCUUGCCUACAAAGGUGGAAGCAUCAUGCUUGCUCGCCACCGUGUCGCUCGCCUUCAAAGCUUGCUCCUUGAGGGUAUCCAUAGUUGUACUCGUCGCCGCACCGUCUUGAAAAAUAGUCGAAGUAGACUCGGCGUCAUCAAUGCCACAAAGAGGGAUGGCGGUGGAGUUGAACUUGGGAGCGUAGUCUUGGAUCUUGUCGGCCUUGGACAACAUGGUGGUACUAGCCUCACGCUCACUGUCCUUGAGGUUGGUCUUUGAUAAGUGUGCUUGGGGUGGAGAAGUCUUGGCCUUCAUAAGUUCUUGUUCCGCCUUGAGAGCACCAAUGUAGUUGUCGUCGAGGGACUUGUAGUUCUCGAGGAAGAUAAUCUUGGAGAUGUCGUUGUUCAAUCCCAUCAUGAAGUAGAACUUUAUCCAAAUGGGGUCGUCCACACCGGCUCGUCGCAAGGUUGUCUUCAUCUCGAGGAAGUACUCGUCGAGGGACUUGGAUCCUUGGAUGGUGUUCUCCACUUGGCGUUGAAGAUGUUCCGUGUAGGUGGAAGGCAAAAACGCUCGCCGCAUAACUUUCUUCAUCUUGGGCCAACUCGUGACGAAGGUCGUCGAAGGUGUAUGAAGCCACCAUGUCGAUGCGUAAUCGUGGAAGGUACUUGAGGCGCGCUUCACUUGGUCUUCGGAAGGGACUUGAUGUAGCUUGAGGUAGUCGUCCAUCUUGCACUCUCGGGGUCUUGAGUUCCAUAGAAAGGAAGCUCGUGGUCGGUGUCGAGGUCGUAGUAGCUCGUGGAAGUCGCGGACUUGAGCUUGGGGAGCUUCUCUUGAUGUAGCACUCGUUGCGCGAUGAAGUGGUUCUUGGUGACGUAGCCGUUAUCACCACCUUGUUUCUCGAAAAGUGGGUUCGCCGACGAGUGUGGCCUAUCCAUCAUAACCAAGUGGGGUGAGUAGGACAGUGAGAGAACAAUACCAAAGUUACCUUCUCCGAGGAUUGAGGAUGUAACAAGUGUCACUCAAUGUAAUGCCACAAUAGGAGAAUUGGAUUCGGCUUUGUUUCUCACACCUACAAGUAAGAGGCUUAUGGAGUAGCUCGGUUAGGAUGGUGGCAAAGAUUUCAAGCAAAUGUUAGUCAGAUAUCGAUAAGGUUGAGAAGGUUCACAAAAAUACAAGUAAAGCAAAUAGAUAAAACCCAAAGGUAUCACUAGGUACACACGCACGGAAGAUAGAUGGGAUCCGCACAACCAAGGGGUGAGCUCAAAAUGUGCAACCACGGAAAAUGAUCUUGUUGUGCGAAUGCUCAAGAGACACUAGCUCGAUUGCUCAAAUGGGCAAGAUACGCUUGUGCACCUACCUAUGUGAGAAUCGUGUCGUCUUCAAUCCCAACUAUGGUAUAUAUGGGAUUGUUGGGGAGGGGCUAGAUCCACUUGCCAAACAUCAAAUCCAUGGACCAAAACAACCAAAUCUCACAAGAUCCAACAAAUUGCAAGAAAAAAAUUUGGGGGCUAUUUUUGUGGGGAUUUUCGGAUUUGGAUGAAAAACAACAAAAUCAAGCUAGCAAAUGGGGGGAUGGGACUCCAAGAUGUGAAUAAACCUGGCUCUGAUACCAAGAUGUUGUAGGGUCAAACCCUAGGAAGGAUCUUUUCACACUUGGAGGGGGAAAGGAGGAAAACACUCAAGAACAUCAAGAACAAGACUCUCAAACAAACCCAAAUAUCACAUCCACUAGAGUAGCACACAUGAGAUCCACAAGAUUACAAGAUCAAUACAAGGAGAGUAGCACUUGGUAAAUUCUUCCCACUAGGUGAGGUCUUGAUGAUCUUCUCCAAGAGGAGGCCUUGACAAUCCAAUGGAUUCUUCCCUAGGUAGGGGCUUGAUCUCCUAAGAGGAGGGGGAUACAAGGAGCAAAGGCUCACAAUGCUUAGUCUAAUCUUUGCUAACCCUCCAAGUGAGCUAGGAAGGGGGUACUUAUAGUCUAGAGGCGAAAUAAGAGGGGGGGCGGGUUACAAGGGCAAAAGCCCCAUCUUGCAUGCAGGCUCGCGGAGUGGUCCGGGCACCCGGGGCGAAGGGGCCGGGCACCCGGACCGGACAGAGGCACCGGCUCAGGCGGGACCAGGCACCUGGGGAAAGGGGUCGGGCACCCGGCCUAGUCAGGGGGCCGGCUGGGGCUGACCGGGCACCCGGGGCUCCAAGUCCGUGGGAGCCGGCGCGAGGGGGGCCGGGCACCCGGGGUUGAGGGCCCGGGCACCCGGGGCUGGCUAGGGACGCGGCCCAGCUCCUGGCCGGGCACCCGGGGCCAAAGGGCCGGGCACCCGGGGCCGGGCACCCGGGGUGUCCCGGGGGUUUUUCCUCCCCUCCUCCUUCUUCACUCUUCUCGACCUCUCCUUCCUUCUCUCGCUCCAUGAAGGCUCGCAGCUCCGUCUUCUCCUUCUCGCGGUCAACUUCCUCGUACCUAAGAAUGAACAAUGUUUCCGUUUGAGGUAGAAUCAAAUCCUCACACGAAUUCAAACGAGACUUGAAUAGGAAAGAGUUCACCUCGUUUUCGAUGUGGCGCGCACGUGCUCUUGUCAUUGGCCCUCUUGGUGUUUGCGGUGGUGAUGGGGUGUCGGUGCGGGUAGUUGAGGGAUGCUCCGCAUCACGGUGCCUAUGUCGAAAGGUGAGAUGAACCGAUAUGGAGGUUAUGCUGCCACCCAUGUUGGUAAAAACCUCCGUAGCCACCUGCUCCAACCGUGUACACAUCGCCUUGAACAGCGACUGGACCUUCGCUCAUUGUAGCAUAGACCACGUGCGAAGCGGGUGCGUACAACAAAAAAUAGCCUGCAGAGGAGAAGCAUUUUUGUCAUGAAAAACAACUACAUAGCCAAAGCGACCAUAAUAAGGCAUACGCUCCCACCCUCAAUAGUGUUUUGAACCUAUUUGAAAUACCGUCCAACUAGUGACCAAAAAUAAUGGCAACACUUGUGGGUGGAUAUAAAUUUGACGCUAUUUGGAUGACUGACCAAGUAGAACGUGCAAAGUUGCUAACAAGAUCAGAAAUUCAUCCAAUGAAAAAAAUUCCUAAAGAUUUCAAUGCCAAUGUUAUGAAUCAAACGCCAAACCUAGUUCAAACAAAUCUAAAACAAGUAAUUCCGGACAAAUAUAUAUUCCUAUGAUGUAAAUCCGCGGAAAGUUUUGAUUUUUUUUCUCUUCAUGGGCAAGUGUUUCUUUCUACGUACUCCCUCCGUCCCAAAAUUCUUGUCUUAGAUUUACCUAGAUAUGGAUAUAUCUAAUACUAAAACGUGACUUGAUACAUCCGUAUUUAGACAAAUCUAAGAUAAGAAUUUUGAAACGGAGGGAGUACUACACAAUAGGCUUGUUUCAGGUCAAACUUUACAAAAUAUGACCAAAUAUAUAUUUAAAAAUACAAACUUCUACAAUACCAACCAAGUAUAUACAAAGUAUAUUCCACAAUGAAUCUAAUGAUAUUGAUUUGAAACUGUGAGUAAUGAUAUAUUUUUUUACUCCCUCUUUCCCAAAAUAUAAGACUAGAUUAGUUUUCUAUUUUUGUUUGUUUCACUUGUGGAACUUUAUUUAUGUACAUAUGCCAUUCUUUUCUUUCAAUAAAAUAUUAUGCUGUUCUUUUCUUUCAAUAAAGUAUGUUGAGGGGGCAAGCCCUGUAGUUUCCUUGGUCAAAAAGAAACUUUGACUAUAAUUUUCACUUUUUAUAUGUUUAUAAAAUUAGUAUACAUAUAAAUGAAAUAAAAUUAUUUUGCAAGAAAAAUACGACUACACCAUUUAUACAUGUUCAAUUCAUGCAUUUUGAUAUAGCCAAAGUCAUGCAUCAAAGACUGUACAGUGAAGUGUUUGGAAAGUUGGGAAGUUUGACUGAAGACAAACCUAUAUUAUACGAAAAGGAAAGCGCAGGGAGUAUAACAAGCGUAGCCGAAGAAUCAAAUAGUAUUAGUAUUUUGUUACAGACUGAUUGGAGCACGAAGGAGGGGAUUUCGCUGGGAACAUUUCCCAGAAAUCAGUGCAGAUUUUGUCACUCGGGUAGUACAAAAGUUGCACCAGCAAAACAAAGAAAAACCUGAAACCAAAGUCCUAGAAGUAAAGUUGAAAAACUGAAUGGUGCAUCAUGUAUGGUACACAGUACAUAGCAUGAACUAGACGGUAGUUGGAAAUAUAUGGGCCUGUUUUCUGUUCUCUCAUGUUUUCACUAGUGACAUCGAAAAUUUCCAGCCAGGCAUGUGGGCUUACAGUCUCAACUGAAAGUUGAAUCCUUGUGAAUUCAAUUGGCAUGUGGGCUUGCAGCAUCUCGAGCAACGUUUCUGCCUAAAUUGCCAAAUCUUUAA
rnacentral:lncRNA from 1 species